AGUCUGCCUUGUGAUGGAUUGAUACCCCAUCCUUGGUUGUUCUCUGCCUGUAGCCUCAAGGAUAGACUCUGGACCCCCAUUGGACAAGCAGUUAUAGAAAACAGAUGGAUGUAAACAUGUAAUCUGUGUCGAUAAAUGGCCAAAACGGCAUUUCAAAGCCGUACGGCACAGAGUAAGCAUGUCUUUUUGUAAACGCCUGCCAUCUUCUGUCUUAUUUUGGUAUUGCGUCGUUUUUUUUUUUUUAAAAAAAAACCUCAAUUACAGAAUCUUCGGGAGAAAUGAGGCACAACAGUUUUCCUGAGUUGACUAUAAUUGUCGUGUAAAAGGUUGUUUUCAGUAUAUUACUUAUUAUUUUCAAAUUUACCAUAUGCUAACAGGGUUGGUACACAGCCAAUCUCGACCAGUCAUCCAGCUAUCCAAAUAUUUUCUGAUGCUCACAUCCUCAUGUUGUUUAAGUUUACGUUAGGACUUUAAGUCGUCAAGUGUAUUCUUAAAGCAACCAUAUCAAGCAAACUGCAUACGGUGACACAAGAUUUCCCUGGACCACGCGAUGAAAUAAACGUCUGGUGGUGAAGUUUAUACGGGGGGAAUCCUCCGCUAAAAUGAGCCACGACAGAGAUGCUAAGUAGAACAGAUCGUCAUGUGAAAAAAGUUAUUUUCAGUAUGUACUUUAUUAAUCGCCAAAAACAAUUUCAUUCGGAGCAACAUGUGGUAACGUGGUCGGUCCAAUCCAUACUAGUCAUCCAAUUAUUCAAACAUUUUCCGAAUCUCACAUCCUCGUGUUAUAUUAGGAUGGGGGCGCUGGUGGCAAAGUUUCGGCACCUCCUCAGAAGACGACGCCCCCUAGGCGGCCGCCCAUGUCAAGUAAAGAGUUGACUGGCGCCAAGGAUGGACUCGCAACAAAAAAAAACAGCCCUGAAAUUUGCUGUCAAGCAUCCCCAGUUGGAUAAUUUCUCGGCUAGUGGGCCAUAUAUUUUUUCCGAUCGUGAUCGCCAAUAACAUCUCUUUAACAAUAGACACAGGCACAUUUCCCCAAACUAUGUUUUGUAGUACGACCAUGACGACACCCUAGAAGAGUAGAGCGAUGUUGGUGGAACUACACUUUAUAGUUCUGAGUCUUCAGGCCACCCCUGUGAGUCUCCCCACCAGGCUAAACCUCCUGAUCAUCGACUCCCAGCCUGCACAGGGCUUGGCCCCCCUGAUCUCCUGGCUCGCCUGGAUCUUCCUCUCCUUCUUCUCCUUCACGCUCCUGCAGCUCGGAGGGGCGACCACUUUAGUGCUUCUGCAACGAUUCUGCAUGUCCUGGCACAUCUGUCAAUGCAGAGGAACAACCUGCAGCCUUUAAAGAAGAAAUGAAUCCCAAAGAGGCAUGAGGACACUUUUCGGCAUCCAGUCCGAAAGUAUUUAAAGCCGCAGGUUUUACCGCUGCAUCUCAGGCUACACUUCCGUCCUGAGAGCAUUAUUGCAGUGAGCGUUGCCUUCUUACUGAGACCAGAGGU